CGCUGGCGGCGUGCCUAACACAUGCAAGUCGAGCGAACUAAGUUGUUUCACUAAACCUUUAAACGAAGAGAUAAAGUAUAGAUAGCCAGCGAGCAAGACAAAUUUGAUUUGUCCGAUUGGCUACAAAUAAAAUUUGUCUUCACGCGUUUUUAAAAGUGCCAACACAUUUGGGUUUGAGAGUUUAGUGAAAUAACUUAGUUAGCGGCGGACGGGUGAGUAACGCGUGAGCAAUCUGCCUUACACAAAGGGAUAGCCUCGGGAAACUGGGAUUAAUACCAUAUAACACUUGAUUGUUGCAUGACAAUUAAGUCAAAGAUUUUAUCGGUGUAAGAUGAGCUCGCGUCUGAUUAGCUAGUUGGUGGGGUAAAGGCCUACCAAGGCAACGAUCAGUAGCCGGCCUGAGAGGGUGAACGGCCACACUGGAACUGAGACACGGUCCAGACUCCUACGGGAGGCAGCAGUGGGGAAUAUUGCACAAUGGGCGCAAGCCUGAUGCAGCGACGCCGCGUGAGCGAAGAAGGUUUUCGGAUCGUAAAGCUCUGUCCUUUGGGAAGAAAAAAUGACGGUACCAAAGGAGGAAGCCCCGGCUAACUACGUGCCAGCAGCCGCGGUAAUACGUAGGGGGCGAGCGUUGUCCGGAAUCACUGGGCGUAAAGGGUGAGUAGGCGGUAACGUGUGUCAGAUGUGAAAGGCGAGGGCUUAACCCUCGUAAGCAUUUGAAACUGCGUAACUUGAGUGCAGGAGAGGCAAGUGG
rnacentral:rRNA from 1 species